AAGUUAAGCAUCAUUGGGCGCUGUCAGUACUUGGGUGGGUGACCACCUGGGAACACUGCGUGCCGUU
rnacentral:rRNA from 1 species